AUUUAGUCUAUGGUUGGGUUGUGACAUUUGUAAAUAUAAUUUUCAAAGAGAAAUAAAAAUAUUGUGAUAUUUUAUAGGGUAAUUAGAUUUAGAUGUGAGCAAGCCAUAUUUUAUAUGCUGAUAAAGCUAUUAAAGGUAUUAAAAAAGAUGAGAGUUCAAUAAAAUGGAUAAGGAUGAUCUCUGUUGAAAUAACAACAUUCUCUUGAAUAAUCUUUUUUUCAAUUGAUUAUUGUAUGAUAUUGUAAAAUUUUGAAUUUAAAAAAGAUUUGC
rnacentral:lncRNA from 1 species